GGUUGGCUGAGGUGAGGAGAAGCAGCAGGAAGGCAGGGAGCAGACCCCAGUCCCCUCUCCUGGUUAGGGAGCUGAGUGGGGAAGCAACAGACCACCCUGCUCCACAGAACAGCUGCAAAUGGAUAUGAAUCAAGGGUAUUUCUGAGCACUGGUGCAAAUCAGAAAUAAACCCAUUGAAGUCUAUGAGAUUAUGUUAGCGUGAGAAGAGAACCAGCCUAAGGGUUUGUAUACACUUACUGGAGGAUCUACGCUGCAGUGAUCGAUACAUCGGUGGUCGAUUUAGUGGGCCUAGUGAAGAUCUGUUGACUCCUGUACUCCACCUGAUUGAGAAGAGUAAGGGGAAUUGAUGGGAGAGCGUCUCCCGUUGAUAUCGUAUAUCGUGGACCCUACGGAGGAAAAAAGGAUGUGACAUUCUCUCACCCUGACAGAUGAAUUCAAAUCAUUGCUAUAUCAUACCUUUGCAGUUUAAAGUGAGACAGGGUAAAGCUCAU